CCUGUACUCGGCGAUCUCCAUCUCCAGUCUGGUCUUGAUGUCCAGCAGCAUCUGGUACUCCUGUCCCUGUCUCUCCAGGUCGGCCCUCAGCUGCACCAGCUGCUCCUCCAUCAUGGUCACCUGCACAGCCAGAACCGCGUUGAGGUCGGCCUGUGGAGCAGCGUCCACCUCCACGUUCACCUGACCGGUCAUCUGGGUCCGCAUGCUCAGCAGGUCCUGCAGGAGGAGGGAGGCCGAGAACUCAAAGCUCCUGGUGCUGUGAAGGACUGUUACCUCCUCGUGGUUGGCCUUCAUGGACACCAGUUCUUCCUUCAGGCUGUCGAUCUGCAUGCUCAGGUCGGUCUUGCCUGCUGCCAGUUCUCCCAUCAGCAUCUUGAGCCCGGCGAUGUCGGCCUCCACUGACUGACGCAUCGUCAGCUCGUUCUCGAACCUGCACAGAGACAGAAACACAUCACACCUGGACCCCUGCACACCUGGACCCCUGCACACCUGGACCCCUGCA